GCCAGGCAUGGUGGUGCAUGCCUGUAAUUCCAGUGUCUCAGGAGGCUGAGGCAGAAGAAUCACAGUUUGAGGCCAGCCUCAGCAACUUAGGGAGGCCCUAAGCAACUUGGUAAAAUCCUGUCUCAA
rnacentral:sRNA from 1 species